UGGCUGUCGUCAGCUCGUGUCGUGUAGAUGUUGGGUUAAGUCCGUAACGAGCGCAACCCUUGUCCUUAGUUACCAGCACGUUAUGGUGGGCGACUCUAAGGAGACUGCCGGUGGACAAACCGGAGGAAGGUGGGGAUGACGUCAAGUCAUCAUGGCCCUUACGGCCUGGGCUACACACGUGCUACAAUGGUCGGUACAAAGGGUUGCCAAGCCGCGAGGUGGAGCUAAUCCCAUAAAACCGAUCGUAGUCCGGAUCGCAGUCUGCAACUCGACUGCGUGAAGUCGGAAUCGCUAGUAAUCGUGAAUCAGAAUGUCACGGUGAAUACGUUCCCGGGCCUU
rnacentral:rRNA from 1 species